GGCAGGGGAACCACACAACUAUACAAGUCAGGAGGAAGCACUAAAGACAAAUUAUAUUAUUUAAGAAGGAAAAAAAAAUCAUCCAUUCCCACUAAAACUCAAAUAUCUUUCAAAAGAGAACAGAUGUUUAUCUUCUUAAAAUGGUGCUAAGCAGAGAAGGACUCUCUCACCAGAGGAGCAAUACCAGAGAGCUCUGAGUGAAGAUCAGACCUUUCCUCCAUAGCACUAGGGGGCAGAGGAAAAUGAGCUGGAGUCUGCAGACUUGUCAGGGUGAACAAGAAUCCCCUACACUGCCACGUUGUUAUUCAUAUGGCACAGCCCAGCAAAUGUUCACAUAUAUGCCUACCUCCCAUAUUGCUAUUUGUGGGAAAUGUGGCCGUGAGAAGGAGGGA